rnacentral:rRNA from 1 species
UACGAAGGGUGCAAGCGUUACUCGGAAUUACUGGGCGUAAAGCGUGCGUAGGUGGUGAGUUAAGUCUGAUGUGAAAUCCCCGGGCUCAACCUGGGAAUGGCAUUGGAUACUGGCUCGCUGGAGUGCGGUAGAGGGUGGUGGAAUUCCCGGUGUAGCAGUGAAAUGCGUAGAGAUCGGGAGGAACAUCUGUGGCGAAAGCGGCGCACUGGACCAUAACUGACGCUGAGGCGACGAAAGGCGUGGGGAGCAAACAGG